UGGGGAAUAUUGGACAAUGGGCGAAAGCCUGAUCCAGCCAUGCCGCGUGUGUGAAGAAGGUCUUCGGAUUGUAAAGCACUUUAAGUUGGGAGGAAGGGCAGUAAGCGAAUACCUUGCUGUUUUGACGUUACCGACAGAAUAAGCACCGGCUAACUCUGUGCCAGCAGCCGCGGUAAUACAGAGGGUGCAAGCGUUAAUCGGAAUUACUGGGCGUAAAGCGCGCGUAGGUGGUUCGUUAAGUUGAAUGUGAAAGCCCCGGGCUCAACCUGGGAACUGCAUCCAAAACUGGCGAGCUAGAGUAUGGCAGAGGGUGGUGGAAUUUCCUGUUUAGCGGUGAAAUGCGUAGAUAUAGGAAGGAACACCAGUGGCGAAGGCGACCACCUGGGCUCAUACUGACACUGAGGUGCGAAAGCGUGGGGAGCAAACAGG
rnacentral:rRNA from 1 species